rnacentral:rRNA from 1 species
ACCGCUCGAAACUCAAAGGACUUGGCGGUGCUUCACACCCUCCUAGAGGAGCCUGUCCCAUAACCGAUAAACCCCGAUCCACCCCACCCUCUCUUGCUCAGCCUAUAUACCGCCAUCUUCAGCGAACCCUGAUAAAGGUUAACAAAGUGAGCGCAAGUGCCCCUUUUCGCAAAAACGUUAGGUCAAGGUGUAGCCUAUGAGAUGGAAA